CUCACGCCACCCAGUUGAGUUAUGGAUCCGGGCCGGAUAACACCACUGACUAUGCUGUCAAACCGAAUCUUGUGUGAUCCACCGGCAACCGUAACAUUGAAGUCGCAGGAGGCGGGGAGUGUCACCUCAACGGCGCCCCCAUGGUUCACGUACGACUUCACACCCUGAGGCAGGAGAGCCCGCGGGAAGUUGUUUUUCUCCAAAAGGUCGUACGCUGUGUCGGAGGUGGCUGCUUGGAGGACAGAAGCCAGGAAGACGAUGAGGAGCAGAUGCCGGAUGGCCAUGUCUAGCUAACUGUUGCUGCUUACAAAUUGUAUCAAGGAAUAUGAGGAACUAGGAAGUAUGUGUAGACUGAGGCCCUGGCCACGUAUUAUAUAUGCUGCCCAACGAAAUCAAAGUCAAUCGUACUUUAAUUGCAUUUAUUUUGUUCCUGAUUAUCACUCCAUCAACCACCACAUCAAAUAUGCUAAAAAUAUCAUCCCAUUAAAUCAUAUUUAUUUCUGGCCUAGAACAUUCUAUAGUUAAUGGUUAUGCCAAAACGUUCCUCAAAUAUUCAUAAUCAAUACGUACCAUAAAAUGAGACUGAAAUUUCAGAGCAACAUUCAUUUACGUACUUCACAGCCGACAUAUGAAACAUAUGCAAAAACCUAAAAAUGAAUCAAGGGGAAACAUCAACAUCCAAACAGUUUGAUCCUUGAUGUUGGCUUGGGUACCAAUGAGGCUUCUCUUCUCUUCAAAUAAUGUUGUGCAGUGCAACUAAAACAUAAAACACCCGCAAGAAAGAAAUAUUUCAUUUAGAUAUACUUGAGUUUUACAUGAGUAUGCGGUGCAAUAGAAUGAUUAUCUCCCAUUGUGCAGAUCAUCUCUUUCAGGAUGCCUACUCAGGCCAGCACAGACUCAUACAUAACAUCUCCGUGAAAGUUUCCACAAUGUUAUAGCAUGAACUCCCAGACCGUGAGAGAGGCUCAGUACCCAUAUCCAAAAUGAAGAGUGCGGAGGAGCAGGUGCCUACCCCUCCACCUUCCACUUCUCUUAAAAUUUUCCUGUGCAAUGCAACUCAACUAAAAAACAACUCCAAGCAAUAUAUUCAAUUUAUAUCUUGUUGGGUUAUGAUACGUCUCCAACGUAUUUAUAUAUUUUUUAUUGUUCCAUGCUAUUAUAAUUGUUGGGUCAUGAGCCGAAAGCAAGCCAUCGAACAUGCCAAUGUUGGAUUGGAUGAGAUUGUCGACCGCCUGAAGGAGGUUCUCAUCGUGAUCCUUGAAGAGCCGGUCCAGACCUACGGUGAAAUACGCUCGUUGAAGCGCGUACACGCCACACCUUUCCUUGGACGGCUUGUCCAUCGCCUCCGCUCACGGCCGAUCACGCCACCGCAUCCCGUGAUGGUGUCGCGGCAACUCCAGGACCACUUAAUCUUAUACCAAUUGUGAGCAACUCACCUGAUCGAGAGGAAUUGCUAGGGAUUAGAAUUCGAAAUUGCGGAAAUUGGUUUCUUAGCUAGACGUCCGUCCACCCUCACAGCUACACUACACCGCAUGUUGUCAUCAUCCAAAUCCCAGCCAGGAGAUAGGAGAGAAGUAUAAUGCCUACUAGCUUAGCCCGCGCGGCGACACGCCGCGCCCAUCGAUCAGUCGCGACUAUGUAGACUAUGGUCCAAGCAAUAGAGUAAUAAGUAGUUAUGAUGAAAUUUGUUGCAUAACUUGAGGCUUUUUAGCAAAUUCUUUUGUUCACAACAAUUUAUAGACACAAAUAUCUAUCUUUCGUGGAAACUUUUAGUUUAUUUUGUACAUAGCAAGGGUCUGUCCACCAAGUUGAAACAAAUACACAACAUGACCAAAAGUAAGGAACUUCAGAACAGUGCUUUCGUAGCUAAAAUUUAAUAAUUUUUCACAUUUCAUAACAUAAAUACUUAACUAAAACUUACAUCUGAUCUGAAGUACAACCAUUGAGACAGUAAAAAAACCACUAUUUUGAUCAUCAGAAAAAAAUUAAUGUGCAUUUCAUGGAAAAAGUUUAGAGACAAAAUAAUUUAGCCAAGAGAAAAACUAUUUCAGAUCACAAAAGGCGCUCCAAAGAGUAAUUGUGUAUAUUAUUCAAAAGAACACUUUGUUACCUUCAGGCUUUAAUUAGCCCCAUUGUAUCUUGUGGAAUCAUGCAGUGAUACAAAUUCUUACCAUAAACAAAAAAAUUAAGCAGCUCUUAAUAUAGAAACAACCAUAUCACUCUGAAUCAAGGGAGCAUGAUGCGAUGAACUGAUGACGGGGAAUCUAUGGUAGCAUAUACCCAGGAAACAGUGUUCAUGGAAACUUUGUUAAACAACCCCUUGCUCAGCUUAAAAGUAUUCCUUCCUGGGUCUCCACUGAAACAAAGCAAUAUUUAUACACCCACAGGUGAGAACAAUAUGAGAUUGUUCGAUAUAAAACCAACAAUGCUUGAACAUACUUGUUUCUCUACCUCACCAUGUGGCAACCAGAAAAAGCUUUAACAAUUUAAAAACCACUUGCAAAUUGAAGUUGAGAGCCUUCACUUAUUUCUCGAAAUGGAAGGAGGAAGGGGCCUUAAUUUGUCCCAGUAACCCCAUGAAUAUAAUUAGCCAAAUAUGUGGCAUUUCAUCUUAUUACAUGGUCAUGCUGAAGGAGGGAACAUCAAUAAAAUUAGGCAUAAGAAAUCCAUCAAAUGAAGAGAGAUGUACUUAGAAAUAAGAAUAACAAACAUUCUCAGAUACUAUGUACCUUAUCCUGCCUCUAAGAAUAUGUCAAGAAGGUGAAUCAUUCACUUUUAUGUUACCGUUGCUGACAACGGACAACUGUGGAUGGAAACAAAAUUCUCAGCAAUGCAUAUAUGAAACUAAGUAACAUGACUUAGAAAAUAUAAUGUAAAAUAUCACAAUAAACUACUACUAAGUAUGUUCAAUAGUAAUACAACCUCAGUUUGUACCCCAGAAAUUUCUAUCACCAAAACAUCUUAGAAGGUUCAGUGCUAGUGAUGUGCCUGCCAUAAGACCGAAUGCCAAUUUCUAGUUAAAAAAUAACCGCGCAAGACCAUAUUCCUCUACCGCAAAGGGUAUAUGAUCAAGUGGGGCCAACUAAAGACAGGCCCCACGAUUCCAUUUUUUAAUGUAUGUUGUUGUAUAAUGAAUGACGCGCUUGUAUGCUUACGUGACUAUUUGGUUUUUGAUGUGAUGGAAAUUGGAGGGAAAGAUGCUGGACGGACUAAUUUGAUCAAUCGGGUGAGUAGAAGUAUUAGAGUUUUGGCCAUCUCAUCCAUUAAAUUUGGAUGGAGGGUAUGCAUCUUAAUAUGAUAAACAUAUAUGCAUACCGUAUAUGGGUUAUAUACAUAUAAAAAUCAGUGCAGCAGGCAUUUUUUCUGAAUCUAAACAUCUUGGUGGCCGAGUUCCAGUGUGAAAAUAUUGGUUUUAGUCCCUGGUCAAAUGGACUGAUGCAUAUUAUGUUUGGUUGUACCACGAAAAAUAAUUUGGUUGCUUUAAGACAUUCAACCGAGGUAGACGAUGCAAUUUUGGCUGACAUGAAGUUUUACGAUCAUCAAUAUAGCAGAAUAUGCAAAAGAUGGGAUAAAGCAAGUCAUAUCUACUCCCUCAGUCCCAUAAUAUAAGAGCGUUUUUGACACGAUGGAGGGAGUAGUUUGUUUAUUUGUUUGAGGAACACUUAUUUGCUUGGAGAAUAAUGAAGUGUGCUUGCACCGGUGCACAUGAGAUGAACUUGAACAAACGAUCUGCAUUCAUAUAUGCAUUGUACCAGAAAUCAGUGCUGCUCUAACUUGCCUCUGCAUUGCCUCUGAACCAGUGCUGAUCUAUAUCGGAGAUCAGGAAUUUACUCAUCAGGUCACUGCAUCUACUUUAUUGCGAUUAAACCACCAAACUCAAAGAAAUACCUGCAAUUUAUUUAAUAGUCUUAUUUGAUUUUUUAUUCAGAAUGCGUUGAGCUAUUUCUUUUGCCGAGCUACAUUCUUGUACAUUGGAUUCUCAAGGAGCAUCACUUGCGAGACAUAUCUUCACAUACUACCAUUUCAGAACACCACUCCCUUCACGCACAGGACAUACAUGUUCUACAUCCACCCCUCACACUCCUAAUUUCAAAACCGAGUUGGCAGGUUAUUGUAAGGCAGGUAAGCAACCUUCUAGAUGGAAUGUUGGAAUUUACUCUGGCAAGGUAGGUCUUAAACAUAUUAUCAUCUGGCUAUCUACUGUUUGAGCUCCCCAUGCUGCUAACACCAUCAAAUAUUGUUUGCUCCGGACAUCUUCAUAUGCCAAUUUGACCUUCUUUUUGGCAGACACAGUAUCUCAGAACAUCUAAAUUGACUCCUUGCACAGGUCUCUGAAUUGACACAAUCAGAAGGAUAAAACAAUCGCUAGAGCUCUUAUAGGAAGUCAGCCAUCAUUUUACUUAGACUAAAGAAGGUGUCUAUCACAAAAAAGGAAAAAAAAGUAAGUGCGAAGAAACACAUGUAGGGUUGCACAUAAUUUGUAAGAGAUGAUCAAGGCAUAUAGUUGCAGCAAGUAGCAAAUGGCAUGAAUUUAUUCAUGAUGCACUCACGCAUCAAGGGUGUAAAUCUUCUUUAGCUAGGUCCAAAUGCAGAUAGAUACAGUACAUGAAUGAUGUGUGAUAUGUCAUUGUAGGUUUCAGACCUGAUGAAAAGUUUAUUACAGUACACGAAAAAUAUUCAUGAAACGGUUAUACAGUACAGGAAUGAUGAGAAAUCGGAAAUUUCUGUACAGGAAUGAUGUAUAAUAAAUUGCUGAGAGGAAUAAAGAAGAUGCAGAAUGUCUGAAACUUCUCAAAACUGGAAACAAUUAUACAAAAGCUACCUGACAGAGUAUACGGCUAGGAAUCUGCCUAAUUCAGUGUCUCUUAUAAUCCACCAACGACUACGGCGUAAUCACCAUCAUUGCGGCUCAACCAGAAUUCGAUCGAAUAAUGAGGCAAAUAAAGCAGCUAAUAUGGGGUAAAUGCACACUAACUUGGCAGCAAGAACAGAUGGGUCAUAAGCGCCUUCAGUGACCCUACGACCUGCAAAUGGCAGUAUACAGACAGUGCGCCUUUACUCUGAAUAACCGAGAAGGAGCUAUCUUUAUCCUCUUUUUUUGCGGGGGAGCUGUCUUUAUCCUCCACUCAAGCUAGAUAUACUUACAAAGUUAGAGUUGUAUAAAGUUUUGAAGCGUAGCGCUGUGAAUGGAUCACUCGUCCAGCAGCCUCCUGACACAUAAAAUAGGCAGAGCGAGCAUUACAAGGUCCCAUAACUCGGGGUCAGGCUAGUCGAACACGAUGACGCGCACCACCGUGCGCCACGCCGACGCCAGGUAGUAGAGCGCGGGCCUCUCGCACUGGUUGUGCGCUAGGGGCUUCAUGUUGAACGCGCGCGCCUUGUAGUCAGCGGGCCAGUACCAGUUCAAGAACGUCCACGCCGGCAUCUGCAUCUCCCGCGCCAGCACAACGCCCUCGGCACCGUCACCACGAACCCCCACGCCACUGACACCGUCCACCGGUUCGCCGCGAUGUAGCAUAUCAACUGGUGCAUCACCCCCGUCGAACAGCCUCCGCAGAGACGCCGGGCGCGAACGCAUGUUGGGGAUAAGCGGUCGAGGUGGUGCAGCGAGUCAGCGACACCAGCGGUGCCACCUGGUGGGCGGCGAGGAGGCCCAGGAGGUCACCAUACACGCCUUACUCGUGGAAGCCCGAGUGUCGGCACACCCACAUCCGCCAUGCCCCAUGCACGAUGUAGUAGGGGACGGCGAGGAGGUUGUCCGGGAGGAAGACCGUGUUGUCGACUUGUCGUCACCCAUGACGAACCAGCUACACCUGGGAGACUGAGGCGGAAGGUCUCGGAGAUGACAGUCGACGUGUGAGAUGCAUGCGGAUGGCAGAGCGAUGACCGUGCGUGUAGGAGAAACCGGAGGUAUCCGGUAAGAUCUUGAUGUAUAUGCACUCCUUCCGCUUCUCCAACAGGCGCGCCAACGCCGUGAAGCCGAACACUGUAGCGUAAUCGUCGUUGUCGACACCGUGGCUGUGGCAGGUUGCGGUGGUGGUGGCGUACUCGUCGUCAACACCACCGUAUCUGUGGAGGGUGGUGGUGGCAUCCUCGCCGUCGACACCACCGUGACCGUGGCGGGCAUCAGCAGGGGCCUCGCCAGCGGCAACGUGACUAAUCAGGAGGAUAGCGUUGUGGGCGGCUUCUUCUGGGUGGAGGCAGCCGGGCGCUGCCACGCUGGGCAAGAUGCUAUGUGCGAAGAAGAGCCCUUUUAUAGGCCAGUACGGCGGUGAAUGGGUGGCUGGGUUAUGCACCGCACUGGAGCAGAGUUUUCGGGAGCGUCUAGAACACACGGCUGGACAACAGCGGCAGUAACAAAAAGGUACAUAUCGAUUGGGCCAGAAGCGGUCACGACAGAAAUACAGAGAAGCAUCGAUGUGUCUGGAAAGGGACAUAUCGAUUGGGCCAGAAGCGGCCGCGACAGAAAUACAGAGAAGCAUCGAUGUGUCAACCAACCGAUCGCCACACCCGUUGAAGAAAUUUGAAUCAAAAAACUGAACACACCACUCAUUUCUACCCUGCCGUGUACCAAAAAAAUACCACGCGCCAUACCCACAACUCACCAUAGGUCACUUUCAUCCAAUUGGUUUAAUCUCAAAGCGAAAACCUUGCCUGCAAUAGAGGCUUGGGUAUUUAAACUAGUGAUCGCUAACAUAGUAGAAGGGCGUGCUCAUAGUCCAUCAACCAUCGCGGUGGGUUGAUCUCGAACCUAGGCUGCGGUUAGAGCAUAAAAAUUGUAUGCGAUAUUGAGUCCAUCACACAAAGUUAGAACAUACAAACUAUGUGCAAUAGGAAGGGUCCAUCACACACGGUUAUAAUUAAAAAUCGUGUGCUCGGAUGGGUUGGCGAUUGGGGUGCCAAUACACACGCUUUCAAAAAGGUGUGCGAUGAAUGGGCUCGACUAGGUCUAACAUAAGUGCUACAUUAUACAAUUAUUAAUUUUUUACAAGCAAACAUAGCACCAGACAUAAUUCACAAUUGGACAACCCAUCGCACACUCUACGAUAUUUUGUUCUGCCAUUUCUCUACUAAUGGACAAAAGGCACUCGGCUUACAUCGGUAUGCCAACAUGAUGUACCUUGAGUGCGUUACGCUGAGUGUCAAANNNNNNNNNNGCGAUAUUGAGUCCAUCACACAAAGUUAGAACAUACAAACUAUGUGCAAUAGGAAGGGUCCAUCACACACGGUUAUAAUUAAAAAUCGUGUGCUCGGAUGGGUUGGCGAUUGGGGUGCCAAUACACACGCUUUCAAAACGGUGUGCGAUGAAUGGGCUCGACUAGGUCUAACAUAAGUGCUACAUUAUACAAUUAUUCAUUUUUUACAAGCAAACAUAGCACCAGACAUAAUUCACAAUUGGACAACCCAUCGCACACUCUACGAUAUUUUGUUCUGCCAUUUCUCUACUAAUGGACAAAAGGCACUCGGCUUACAUCGGUAUGCCAACAUGAUGUACCUUGAGUGCGUUACGCUGAGUGUCAAACCCGCCGAGGCAAAAUCAGCCUUUGCUAGGGGGUCUGCACACCCAAUGGCGGAGCUAUGUUGGNNNNNNNNNNNNNNNNNNNNNNNNNNNNNNNNNNNNNNNNNNNNNNNNNNNNNNNNNNNNNNNNNNNNNNNNNNNNNNNNNNNNNNNNNNNNNNNNNNNNNNNNNNNNNNNNNNNNNNNNNNNNNNNNNNNNNNNNNNNNNNNNNNNNNNNNNNNNNNNNNNNNNNNNNNNNNNNNNNNNNNNNNNNNNNNNNNNNNNNNNNNNNNNNNNNNNNNNNNNNNNNNNNNNNNNNNNNNNNNNNNNNNNNUCUUGUAGUGGAGAAUUUUCAACGUAUGAUGUAAAAUAGCCGUUGUGUCAAAAGAAUUGACAGUUAGGUCACUUUGGGCCAAAAAAAAGUAUCCAAAAGAUGCCCUAUAUACCUAUAUGUUGCAAAAGAAAAUUACCCAAAAUUUUGUCACACACAUCUAGUAGCUGCAUUGAAACCAAAAACAAUGCAGCAGGAACCCAACCACUAGCGAUGAGACUACCCCACCGCCGACAGUCGCCACCCCACACCUACUUUGACCGACUGUGCAGCGCAUGCUGCCGCCGUGACUCAAUCGGCCGUUCUCAGCCCCGCUACCACCCUGCCGCUUGGGAUGUCCGCUACCAAAUCUUGGGCCGGCGCAUCCGAUUCCACCGACUCUGGCCAUAGAAAGUUGGUGUAGCUACCGGGACAUCCCCCUUCAGUAUUUUGGCUAAUUUUGAACUUUUUGUCCGGAUCACAAGAAAAUGUUAGUAUCGUCCAUGUUGCUGAAGGGGAAUUACUACUUGGGGAUUUGCUCACUGAAUAUUGGAAUAUACUUACUUUAUGCAUGCCAUCAAAUAUAGCUCAUCCCCUGAAAGAACAAAGAUUGCUGAUGUUUUUUUCCAUGGUUUUCUAAAACAAUGUUGAUCUUUUUCAGAGAAAUGCAAUGAUUAUUUUUAGAGAACAUUCUGCAAAUCAACUAAAUAAGAGUCUAGGCAUUCUUCUUGUUUUUUUCGGGGGGAAGGUGUCUAGGCAUUUAUUAACAUGUAGAACUUACAAUGCAUGGGGAAUGAAAGAUCAAAUAUACCUUGCUCUCCUUUCUUAUUUUAGUGGCUGUUAAUGUCAUCAUAAAGAAUAUUACACAUUAGGAUUGAGUUGUUUUGCUCUUCUAUUUUCCAGUAAGCCCUGCGAUAUUUUACAACCCAUCGGACACCCUUGUCGAUCUGAUGCUAUGUAGAUCAAGAUUAUUUCUAAUUACCUGCGAGACACCGACAAAGUAUAUCAUGUGGAAUUUCUUGUUCCUGUGGUUAGGAGGCUGGGCAAAAAAUAUAUAUGAUCAUCACAAUAAUAUUAGGUCUUGGAACCAUGACUUAUUACAUAAUCAGUUUAUUCACUCUACAUAAAGCAGCGGACUCACAAAGACACAUGCAUAUUGGAUACUACAUUAUAUGGAAGGCGUGCAUGCAUCCGUAACCGAUCACACCCUUAGCUGCACCUGGGGCUCUGCACGAAGUUGCUAACCGGAAAUGACUGGUCGAACGUGGCUGCAUGCUCACUACCAGUAAACCUCAGCUUGUCACCGACGCGUUGAACCGUGUGGAAUGUGAGAAAAUCCCACUCAAAUUGGAUCCUCACGCCACCCAAUUGAGUUAUGGAUCCGGGCCGGAUAACACCACUGACUAUGCUGUCAAACCGAAUCUUGUGUGAUCCACCGGCAACCGUAACAUUGAAGUCGCAGGAGGCGGGGAGUGUCACCUCAACGGCGCCCCCAUGGUUCACGUACGACUUCACACCCUGAGGCAGGAGAGCCCGCGGGAAGUUGUUUAUCUCCAAAAGGUCGUACGCUGUGUCGGAGGUGGCUGCUUGGAGGACAGAAGCCAGGAAGACGAUGAGGAGCAGAUGCUGGAUGGCCAUGGCUAGCUAACUGUUGCUGCUUACAAAUUGUAUCAAGGAAUAUGAGGAACUGGGAAGUAUGUGUAGACUGAGGCCCUGGCCACGUAUUAUAUAUGCUGCCCAACGAAAUCAAAUUCAAUCGUACUUUAAUUGCAUUUAUUUUGUUCCUGAUUAUCACUCCAUCAACCACCUCAUCAAAUAUGCUAAAAAUAUCAUCCCAUUAAAUCAUAUUUAUUUCUGGCCUAGAACAUUCUAUAGUUAAUGGUUAUGCCAAAACGUUCCUCAAAUAUUCAUAAUCAAUACGUACCAUAAAAUGAGACUGAAAUUUCAGAGCAACAUUCAUUUACGUACUUCACAGCCGACAUAUGAAACAUAUGCAAAAACCUAAAAAUGAAUCAAGGGGAAACAUCAACAUCCCAACAGUUUGAUCCUUGAUGUUGGCUUGGGUACCAAUGAGGCUUCUCUUCUCUUCAAAUAAUGUUGUGCAGUGCAACUAAAACAUAAAACACCCGCAAGAAAGAAAUAUUUCAUUUAGAUAUACUUGAGUUUUACAUGAGUAUGCGGUGCAAUAGAAUGAUUAUCUCCCAUUGUACAGAUCAUCUCUUUCAGGAUGCCUACUCAGGCCAGCACAGACUCAUGCAUAACAUCUCCGUGAAAGUUUCCACAAUGUUAUAGCAUGAACUCCCAGACCAUGAGAGAGGCUCAGUACCCAUAUCCAAAAUGAAGAGUGCGGAGGAGCAGGUGCCUACCCCUCCACCUUCCACUUCUCUUAAAAUUUUCCUGUGCAAUGCAACUAAACUAAAAAACAACUCCAAGCAAUAUAUUCAAUUUAUAUCUUGUUGGGUUAUGAUACGUCUCCAACGUAUUUAUAUAUUUUUUAUUGUUCCAUGCUAUUAUAAUUGUUGGGUCAUGAGCCGAAAGCAAGCCAUCGAACAUGCCAGUGUUGGAUUGGAUGAGAUUGUCGACCGCCUGAAGGAGGUUCUCAUCGUGAUCCUUGAAGAGCCGGUCCAGACCUACGGUGAAAUAUGCUCGUUGAAGCGCGUACACGCCACACCUUUCCUCGGACGGCUUGUCCAUCGCCUCCGCUCACGGCCGAUCACGCCACCGCGUCCCGGGAUGGUGUCGCGGCAACUCCAGGACCACUUAAUCUUAUACCAAUUGUGAGCAACUCACCUGAUCGAGAGGAAUUGCUAGGGAUUAGAAUUCGAAAUUGCGGAAAUUGGUUUCUUAGCUAGACGUCCGUCCACCCUCAUAGCUACACUACACCGCAUGUUGCCAUCAUCCAAAUCCCAGCCAGGAGAUAGGAGAGAAGUAUAAUGCCUACUAGCUUAGCCCGCGCGGCGACACGCCGCGCCCAUCGAUCAGUCGCGACUAUGUAGACUAUGGUCCAAGCAUUAGAGUAAUAAGUAGUUAUGAUGAAAUUUGUUGCAUAACUUGAGGCUUUUUAGCAAAUUCUUUUGUUCACAACAAUUUAUAGACACAAAUAUCUAUCUUUCAUGGAAACUUUUAGUUUAUUUUGUACAUAGCAAGGGUCUGUCCACCAAGUUGAAACAAAUACACAACAUGACCAAAAGUAAGGAACUUCGGAACAGUGCUUUCGUAGCUAAAAUUUAAUAAUUUUUCACAUUUCAUAACAUAAAUACUUAACUAAAACUUACAUCUGAUCUGAAGUACAACCAUUGAGACAGUAAUAAAACCACUAUUUUGAUCAUCAGAAAAAAAUUAAUGUGCUUUACAUGGAAAAAGUUUAGAGACAAAAUAAUUUAGCCAAGAGAAAAACUAUUUCAGAUCACAAAAGGCGCUCCAAAGAGUAAUUGUGUAUAUUAUUCAAAAGAACACUUUGUUACCUUCAGGCUUUAAUUAGCCCCAUUGUAUCUUGUGGAAUCAUGCAGUGAUACAAAUUCUUACCAUAAACAAAAAAAUUAAGCAGCUCUUAAUAUAGAAACAACCAUAUCACUCUGAAUCAAGGGAGCAUGAUGCGAUGAACUGAUGACAGGGAAUCUAUGGUAGCAUAUACCCAGGAAACAGUGUUCAUGGAAACUUUGUUAAACAACCCCUUGCUCAGCUUAAAAGUAUUCCUUCCUGGGUCUCCACUGAAACAAAGCAAUAUUUAUACACCCACAGGUGAGAACAAUAUGAGAUUGUUUGAUAUAAAACCAACAAUGCUUGAACAUACUUGUUUCUCUACCUCACCAUGUGGCAACCAGAAAAAGCUUUAAAAAUUAAAAACCACUUGCAAAUUGAAGUUGAGAGCCUUCACUUAUUUCUCGAAAUGGAAGGAGGAAGGGGCCUUAAUUUGUCCCAGUAACCCCAUGAAUAUAAUUAGCCAAAUAUGUGGCAUUUCAUCUUAUUACAUGGUCAUGCUGAAGGAGGGAACAUCAAUAAAAUUAGGCAUAAGAAAUCCAUCAAAUGAAGAGAGAUGUACUUAGAAAUAAGAAUAACAAACAUUCUCAGAUACUAUGUACCUUAUCCUGCCUCUAAGAAUAUGUCAAGAAGGUGAAUCAUUCACUUUUAUGUUACCGUUGCUGACAACGGACAACUGUGGAUGGAAACAAAAUUCUCAGCAAUGCAUAUAUGAAACUAAGUAACAUGACUUAGAAAAUAUAAUGUAAAAUAUCACAAUAAACUACUACUAAGUAUGUUCAAUAGUAAUACAACCUCAGUUUGUACCCCAGAAAUUUCUAUCACCAAAACAUCUUAGAAGGUUCAGUGCUAGUGAUGUGCCUGCCAUAAAACCGAAUGCCAAUUUCUAGUUAAAAAAUAACCGCGCAAGACCAUAUUCCUCUACCGCCAAGGGUAUAUGAUCGAGUGGGGCCAACUAAAGACAGGCCCCACGAUUCCAUUUUUUAAUGUAUGUUGUUGUAUAAUGAAUGACGCGCUUGUAUGCUUACGUGACUAUUUGGUUUUUGAUGUGAUGGAAAUUGGAGGGAAAGAUGCUGGACGGACUAAUUUGAUCAAUCGGGUGAGUAGAAGUAUUAGAGUUUUGGCCAUCUCAUCCAUUAAAUUUGGAUGGAGGGUAUGCAUCUUAAUAUGAUAAACAUAUAUGCAUACCGUAUAUGGGUUAUAUACAUAUAAAAAUCAGUGCAGCAGGCAUUUUUUCUGAAUCUAAACAUCUUGGUGGCCGACUUCCAGUGUGAAAAUAUUGGUUUUAGUCCCUGGUCAAAUGGACUGAUGCAUAUUAUGUUUGGUUGUACCACGAAAAAUAAUUUGGUUGCUUUAAGACAUUCAACCGAGGUAGACGAUGCAAUUUUGGCUGACAUGAAGUUUUACGAUCAUCAAUAUAGCAGAAUAUGCAAAAGAUGGGAUAAAGCAAGUCAUAUCUACUCCCUCAGUCCCAUAAUAUAAGAGCGUUUUUGACACGAUGGAGGGAGUAGUUUGUUUAUUUGUUUGAGGAACACUUAUUUGCUUGGAGAAUAAUGAAGUGUGCUUGCACCGGUACACAUGAGAUGAACUUGAACAAAAGAUCUGCAUUCAUAUAUGCAUUGUACCAGAAAUCAGUGCUGCUCUAACUUGCCUCUGCAUUGCCUCUGAACCAGUGCUGAUCUAUAUCGGAGAUCAGGAAUUUACUCAUCAGGUCACUGCAUCUACUUUAUUGCGAUUAAACCACCAAACUCAAAGAAAUACCUGCAAUUUAUUUAAUAGUCUUAUUUGAUUUUUUAUUCAGAAUGCGUUGAGCUAUUUCUUUUGCCGAGCUACAUUCUUGUACAUUGGAUUCUCAAGGAGCAUCACUUGCGAGACAUAUCUUCACAUACUACCAUUUCAGAACACCACUCCCUUCACGCACAGGACAUACAUGUUCUACAUCCACCCCUCACACUCCUAAUUUCAAACCGAGUUGGCAGGUUAUUGUAAGGCAGGUAAGCAACCUUCUAGAUGGAAUGUUGGAAUUUACUCUGGCAAGGUAGGUCUUAAACAUAUUAUCAUCUGGCUAUCUACUGUUUGAGCUCCCCAUGCUGCUAACACCAUCAAAUAUUGUUUGCUCUGGACAUCUUCAUAUGCCAAUUUGACCUUCUUUUUGGCAGACACAGUAUCUCAGAACAUCUAAAUUGACUCCUUGCACAGGUCUCUGAAUUGACACAAUCAGAAGGAUAAAACAAUCGCUAGAGCUCUUAUAGGAAGUCAGCCAUCAUUUUACUUAGACUAAAGAAGGUGUCUAUCACAAAAAAGGAAAAAAAGUAAGUGCGAAGAAACACAUGUAGGGUUCCACAUAAUUUGUAAGAGAUGAUCAAGGCAUAUAGUUGCAGCAAGUAGCAAAUGGCAUGAAUUUAUUCAUGAUGCACUCACGCAUCAAGGGUGUAAAUCUUCUUUAGCUAGGUCCAAAUGCAGAUAGAUACAGUACAUGAAUGAUGUGUGAUAUGUCAUUGUAGGUUUCAGACCUGAUGAAAAGUUUAUUACAGUACACGAAAAAUAUUCAUGAAACGGUUAUACAGUACAGGAAUGAUGAGAAAUCGGAAAUUUCUGUACAGGAAUGAUUUAUAAUAAAUUGCUGAGAGGAAUAAAGAAGAUGCAGAAUGUCUAAAACUUCUCAAAACUGGAAACAAUUAUACAAAAGCUACCUGACAGAGUAUACGGCUAGGAAUCUGCCUAAUUCAGUGUCUCUUAUAAUCCACCAACGACUACGGCGUAAUCACCAUCACUGCGGCUCAACCAGAAUUCGAUCGAAUAAUGAGGCAAAUAAAGCAGCUAAUAUGGGGUAAAUGCACACUAACUUGGCAGCAAGAACAGAUGGGUCAUAAGCGCCUUCAGUGACCCUACGACCUGCAAAUGGUAGUAUACAGACAGUGCGCCUUUACUCUGAAUAACCGAGAAGGAGCUGCCUUUAUCCUAUUUUUUUGCGGGGGAGCUGUCUUUAUCCUCCACUCAAGCUAGCUAUACUUACAAAGUUAGAGUUGUAUAAAGUUUUGAAGCGUAGCACUGUGAAUGGAUCACUCGUCCAGCAGCCUCCUGACACAUAAAAUAGGCAGAGCGAGCAUUACCAGGUCCCAUAACUCGGGGUCAGGCUAGUCGAACACGAUGACGCGCACCACCGUGCGCCACGCCGACGCCAGGUAGUAGAGCGCAGGCCUCUCGCACUGGUUGUGCGCUAGGGGCUUCAUGUUGAACGCGCGCGCCUUGUAGUCAGCGGGCCAGUACCAGUUCAUGAACAUCCGAGCCGGCAUCUGCAUCUCCCGCGCCAGCAUGACGCCCUCGCCACCGUCACCACGAACCCCCACGCCACUGACACCGUCCACCGGUUCGCCGCGAUGUAGCAUAUCAACUGGUGCAUCACCCCCGUCAAACAGCCUCCGCAGAGAUGCCAGGCGCAAACGCAGCGAGUCAGUGACACCAGCGGUGCUACCUGGUGGGCGGCGAGGAGGCCCAGGAGGUCACCAUACAUGCCUUACUCGUGGAAGCCCGAGUGUCGGCACGCCCAGCUCCGCCAUGCCCCAUGCAUGAUGUAGUAGGGGAUGGCGAGGAGGUUGUCCGGGAGGAAGACCGUGUUGUCGACUUGUCGUCGCCCAUGAUGAACCAGCGUACACCUGGGAGACUGAGGCGGAAGGUCUCGGAGAUGACGGUCGACGUGUGAGAUGCAUGCGGAUGGCAGAGCGAUGACCGUGCGUGUAGGAGAAACCGGAGGUAUCCGGUAAGAUCUUGAUGUAUAUGCACUCCUUCCGCUUCUCCAACAGGCGCGCCAACGCCGCGAAGCUGAACACUGCAGUGUAAUCGUCGUUGUCGACAGCGUCGCCGUGGCAGGUUGCGGUGGUGAUGGCGUACUCGUCGUCGACACCACCGUCACUUUGGAGGGUGGUGGUGGCAUCCUCGCCGUCGACACCACCGUGACCGUGGCGGGCGUCGGCAGGGGCCUCGUCAGCGGCAACGUGACUAAUCAGGAGGAUAGUGUUGUGGGCGGCUUCUUCUGGGUGGAGGCAGCCGGGCGCUGCCACGCUGGGCAAGAUGCCAUGUAUGAAGAAGAGCCCUUUUAUAGGCCAGUACGGCGGUGAACGGGUGGCUGGGUUAUGCACCGCACUGGAGCAGAGUUUUCGGGAGCGUCUAGAACACACGGCUGGCCAACAGCGGCAGUAACAAAAAGGGACAUAUCGAUUGGGCUAGAAGCGAUCGCGACAGAAAUACAGAGAAGCAUCGAUGUGUCAGGAAAGGGACAUAUCGAUUGGGCCAGAAGCGGCCGUGACAGAAAUACGGAGAAGCAUCGAUGUGUUAGACUGGCCCACAAGCAAUGAAAAAACGCUAAGCCAACCAAGCGAUCGCCACACCCGUUGAAGAAAUUUGAAUCAAAAAACUGAACACACCACUCAUUUCUACCCUGCCGUGUACCAAAAAAAUACCACGCGCCAUACUCACAACUCACCAUAGGUCACUUUCAUCCAAUUGGUUUAAUCUCAGAGCGAAAACCUUGCCUGCAAUAGAGGCUUGGGUAUUUAAACUAGUGAUCGCUAACAUAGUAGAAAGGCGUGCUCAUAGUCCAUCAACCAUCGCGGUGGGUUGAUCUCGAACCUAGGCUGCGGUUAGAGCAUAAAAAUUGUAUGCGAUAUUGAGUCCAUCACACAAAGUUAGAACAUACAAACUAUGUGCAAUAGGAAGGGUCCAUCACACAUGGUUAUAAGUAAGGGUUAAUUAUCCUUUUGCCCUUAGUGGUGUCCAUGUGCUCAGUUUUGCCCUCAGAUGCGAAUUGUCCUCAGUUUUGCCCCUAGUCCGAGCACAGCAACUACGACGAGGCCAAACGGCCAUAUUUGAGUCCAUUCCGUCCGCCGGCGUUAGUAGUUGUGGGUCCGGAGCUUACACGUGGGACCGCGUGGACGUGGGUCCGGAGCUGACAUGUAGGCCCCUGCAACUAAAUCCCCAAAUCAUUCUAGCUCACACCCAUCCGCGCGGCCGGCUGUCCUGCGCCGCCGCCGCCGCCACCUGCGCCGCGGCCAGCACCUGCCCUGCCACCAGUUGCACGGCCUGCUCCGCCGCUACCUCCCUGCGCCUACGCUCCACGGCUCAUUGUGACGCCCACCACCUUCCUGCGACGCCACGGGUGGGGCGCCCGCCACCUGCUCGAUUCGCGGCGCGGCCUCCUUCCGUGCGCCCGGCCGGAGCGCUCAAAGGUGGGGGGCUGCUGGAGCUAUUUGAACUAGGAGGAAGAACCCUAGGGCGAAAUGGUGAGCAGCGGCGACCCCGGAGUAUUUGGCGAGGCAGGCAUCGGGCCGGAGAUCCGCCGCGUCCACGACUGGGUUCCCGAGGGGUAAGUCUCGCCUCUUGUUUAGAUUGAGCUUAGUUGUGCAUUUGAACACUCGAUUCGAGUAGGUUUGCCCAAUUAGUGUGCUGAUUGCGUCUCUGUUUUUCGCCGGUUAGGAUGGAGUUGCGGUUUGCUUUCAUGGUGCACAUUAGAAGGGACCGGUACAUGUUCGAUGCAAAGGAUAAGAAGAAAUACCAAGGAGGUUUUGAUUAUCGGUUGCCAAUGGCUAGUAAUUGGAGUUUCAGACAAAUUGGGGAGGUAAUUUGUAGCCAAUAUCCUUGGGGUUUGCUUGAUGAAGUGGUAUACAAAUACUAUGAUGGGGAAAAGAAUUGGGUGACAGUUAGUAAUGAUGAAGAGCUAGCUACCAUGUUUGUUAGGCAUAAAGAGAAAGAUAAUUUUCAUGUGAGGCUGCAAGUUGAUGUGCUUGAGCAGGCAUUUGGACCUAGGAUGGCGGGUGCAACAUCUCGGGGAGAAUCAAGUCGUCGUAAUGGCAUCUCUAGCCAGAACAGUUCAGUUGGUGCACGGCGACGUGGUGGCUCGACAAGUGUGGGCAACAGCAGUAGGGUCCCCCUUGAAGUGGAGCCUGAUGGCUACAAUUCUGGGGUUGAUGAAGAGAAGUUAUAUUCUGAUGUUAUUCAGAAUUUACGACGGGCACCUCGGGCUGAAAACCAAGAUGAGGCUCACAAUGCAGUCCGUGUGGAUGAUGACGCAAUGGGUGAGGACGAAGACCUUGCAGCUGUUGAAUGGGACCCUUUGAACCCUCAAAUGGAAGAAGGUACAGUUUUUGCAUCCAUGAAUGAGUGUAGAAAUGCACUUGUGACAUACUGCAUCAAGGUAGAACGUACUUUCAAAGUUGACAAGAGCGAUCAAGUACGUUACAGAGUGCACUAUCCUACUGAGGGUUGUCCAUGGAGGCUGCUUGCAGCUAAAAUGCGGAAUAGCACUAAUGUUCAGGUCAAAGUGGAUCCUUUUAAGCACACAUGCCAGGAAUCAACUCUUAGGAAGGAUACAAUCAGUAGAGCCAAGUCAAGAUGGGUGGCAGAAGAAGUAAAAAAGUGGGUGAAAGAAAACCAGCAAGUGGGUCCAAAGGAAUUGCAGAAGAACAUCAAAGAUAAGUUCAAGAUAGAUUUACCAUACAUGAGAUUGUUCAAUGGUAAACAACAUGCUAUGGAUUCUAUUUAUGGUAACUGGCAGGAAAGUUUUCAAUUGUUGUAUUCAUUCAAAGGUGAAGUGGAGAGGACAAGCCCAGGUAGUAUUGUAGAUAUUGAUCACCACACCGUGGAGUACACAUUAAGGGGAGUGACAAAGACCAAGGAAUGCUUUAGAAGGGUUUUUGUCUGCUUUGAGGCUUGUCGCCGGGGUUUUUUGGUAGGCUGCAGGCCUUAUUUGGCUAUUGAUGCCACUUUUCUCACAGGAAGGUUUAAAGGACAGUUAGUUGCAGCUUGUGCAGUUGAUGCACAUAGUUUUGUAUUUCCAGUUGCCUAUGGUGUGCUGGAGACAGAGUCUGAGGAGAGCUGGACUUGGUUUUUGCAUAAUCUCCGCCGGGCUAUUGCACAUCCCAAUGGGUUGGUCAUUCAUACAGAUGCCUGCAAAGGUUUAGAAGUGGCCGUGGACAAUGUGUUCCCUGGAGUAGAGCAUAGGGAAUGCAUGCGUCACCUUGCUGCAAAUUUCAUGAAGAAAUUCAAAGGAAAGGUGUAUACCGACAAUUUAUGGCCAGCAUCUUUGACAUGCAGUGUGAAGAAGCAUAACUACCACUUGAGGCAGUUAUACAUGAAUCCCAAAGUGAAAGAAUACUUGGAAACACACCACUCCAAGUUAUGGGCCAGAAGCCAAUUCAGUGAAGUGAGCAAAGUUGACUAUGUGCACAAUAAUCUAGCAGAGUCUUUCAACUCAACGAUCCGGAAACUAAAGGGUCAUUAUGUGGUGGAUUUGCUUGACAGGAUAAGGAUAUAAUACAUGCAGAAAUUUCAUUAUCGUGCAGGAAUAGCCGAGGCAAAAUUCAUGGGCCACAUUAUCAUCCCUGCCAUGAUGAAUGAACUGAAGCAGAAGACAAUAGGCUUGGAAAUGAACAUGACGCUUUGCUCGGGUACCACAGCAGAGAUAUCAUAUUUGGAUAAAGAGAAGAGGGAAUGGAGAUAUCCAGUGGAUUUAGAAGCUAGAACUUGCAGUUGUAGGCAAUGACAGAUAACUGGGUUGCCAUGCAUUCAUGCCUUAUUUUUCAUCACUUCUCUCCCAGGUCCAGCAGGGAACACACAGCAGUAUGUGCAUGAUUACUACUCUGUUGCAAGGUUCAAAGCCACAUAUGCUUAUGCCUUGCCUGCUAUGGAGGGAAAACAACAAUGGGACAUGGUGGACCCUGGAUUCAAGCUUUGCGCUCCAGUUCUGAAGAGAGCAGCAGGUAGACCAAGGAAGAGUCGAAUAAGACCUUGCAGCGAAGGAGCUGGACUUGGAGCGAGGAAGCGUAAGUGCACAAGAUGUGGUGGGUCUGGUCAUUUCGGUAAGUAUUGUGAUAAUACAGUAGAUCCAGCGUUCGGAGAGAGUUUCGAUGAAGGCUUCGAUGAAAAUGUUGGUCAGCAGCCGGUUGCCUCAACAGAUGAUGAAAAUGUUGGUCAACAGCCGGUUGCCUCAACAGAUGAUGAAAAUGAUGGUCAACAGCCGGUUGCAUCAGAUGAGGAUUUUGACGAGGUUCCAAAUGAUGAUGGUCAACAGCCGCAUGAUUUUGACGAUGAUCCAAAAUAUCCUCCAAAUAAUGAUUCAAGUGAGGCUCCAAAUGGUGAUCCAAGUGAGGCUCUAAAUGGUGAUCAUGGUGAUCCAAGUGAGGCUCCAAAUGAUGAUCCAAGUGAGGCUCCAAAUGGUGACCAACCUUCUGUUGUUGUGAGUUCUGCUAGGUAUGUAAAUCUUGCAAGGGUCAAAUACUACUGUACAUCUAUCACUUGACACGAUCUCAUUACCGUUUAUGUUUGGACCCUUUAUGUUUUGCACAGCUCUAUGGUAGGUUUGAAGAAGACGCGCAAGGUACCGACAACCAAGAGAAGAAGAGAAGAAACAAUGAGCACAAGGUGCACGAGGAGCAAAGUGAUGACAAGAAGCUCAAGGAACAGACAGAAGCCCCAACGCUAUCUAUGAACAAUUAUGAAACAUUAUGAAUAAGGAAUGAUGUUGUAUUAUGAAACAUUUAUCACUUGACAUGUUGUAUUUCUGUUGGAUGAUGUUGGACCUAUGUUAGAAGUAUGUUUGACAUGAUGUUUAAAUAUAUGUUGGAUGAUGUUUGAAUGAGCACAUGGUUUUUCCUUUUUUUGAUUUUUUUGAAUUUUAUUUUGCUCAUUUAAAUUCUGGUCAAACCUAACUUUGACCAAGAUUUAAGCAAGUCUAAAACAUCAAAAUGAAAAACUAAGCCUGGAUACUUCUUAGUCAAUCCAAAAUGAAGUUGUGGUGAGGUUUUUGAAAUUUUCAUGAAAAAUGUGCUAAAAAGAGGGGUCCAAAGGUAGGGUAAACGGCCUCAUUUCUAAGCAAGGUUUUUUUCGACCUUAUCUAAAUCAGUCAAAUAACUUUCCUACACAUAUAUUCUAUAUGUACAGACUAUGUGCGCUGGUUUUUCCAUUUUUUGAUUUUUUUUAAAUUUGUUUUGCUCAUUUGAAUUCUGGUCAAACUUAACUUUGACCAAGAUUUAAACAAGUGUAAAACAUCAAAAUGAAAAACUAAGCCUGGAUCCUUCUUAGUCACUCCAAAAUGAAGCUGUGGUGAGUUUUUUGAAAUUUUCAUGUUCAUUUCCCCAAAACACUUCUCUUCACUUCAUACAAGAGAGUUUGAGAUACUCGAGAUAUCAUACAAUACACAUGAACUUAUCAUUUAAAUGUAUGUAAAGCUUGUUUAUCAACUUAAAUCGUUAGUAUAUGACAUAAGAAGACUAUGUGCGCAGGUUUUUCAUUUUUCUGAUUUUUAUUUAAUUUAUUAUGCUCAUUUGAAAUCUGGUCAAACAUAGCUUUGACUGCUCCAAACCCCUCCCAAACCCCGCUAACCCUAGCGCUGAAUAAGGACCGUUCAUCUAACCCUAGUGGUGAUCAAGGGCCGUCGAUCUAACCCUUCUAGAAGAAAUCUGCGGGGAGGAGGGGGGCGAUCCGCGAGAUGCAAUCUGAUUGGCUGGGAGAUUGUUUUUUUUAACAAAUAUCGGACGCGCUGGAUGGACCGUUGGGCCGUCUCGUUGUCUGGGCCUGAGAUCGCAGUAAAUAGCCCGUCUCAGCCUUUCCAGGCCUUGCAUGCAUGGAGGCGGCUACGUGGGUUUGCGCAUGCGCGGGAGGCGGCGACGUGCAUGCAUGCGAGUGAGGCGAGCUAGGCGAGCUAGGCUAGCGAGGCGAGCUAGGUGGUUCAGGGCAGUGGUUCAGGGCAGCGGUUCACAUGCACUGCCCGGUCAAAGAUGCAUCGUUUUCGUGCAAAAAUGUAAGUGUGCAAAACAUAACGGAUACACACACGCGUCCAGAUUCACGCACGCACCAUUCUCAUCCUUUCUCUCUUCCUCUCCCACCCACAGGCCUAUAAAUGGGGUUCCUCUCUUCCUCUCCCACCUACAAGCCAGAUCCGAUCCUCUCCAACUGCAAACACCCAAGCGACCAAGCCCUCCCCAAGCGAGACCAAGUGAAGAAGAUGUAGUUCAACGGGCCGACCUUCCGCCGUCCGCCUGUGGUGCCGGAGCUGCGCUACCCACCGGGCGUGCUCGUGGAGAGGGAGCUCCGUGUGUGGGCUAUUUCAAGGUGGAGGGGUUUCGUCGAACUCACCCGCGCCUUCCUCAGAGCCGGCUAUGCCCACCUCCUACAGGGCUCAUCGAGGAUGUUCACCCUCAACGAGGUUCGUGACCGCGGCGGCAUCCUCCUACUGCUCACGGUCACCUUCACCAACCCAUUUGACGCGCGCGAGCUCCUCGGCCAAGUCUUUUGGUGCGGCUGCGAGGUCAUCUUCUUCACCAUCUACAACAUCUACACCAACUACAAGCGCAUCUUCCCUGCUCCAGGCCAGAUGCACUCCCUUCCCUACGACGACGAGGAGGAGGUGUGAAGAUGAAGACGGUGUUGAAGGGGCGCGCGCGGCCAAGGUGGAAGAAGGAGGUCAAGAUGAAGAUGUUCAAGCCCGGAGUCAAGCUCAUCAUGUUUGGUUUUUUAUUUUGUUGCUUUUCUAUGUCGUGUCGUGUCGUGUCAUGUUUCAUCAUGUGUCCGUGAACUAUCCGUGAACUUAUCUAAGUUAUUGUAAUGGUACGGUGUGUUCCAUCUUAUUAUGUGUGUUAAAAAAUGUCCGUUCCCAAACUUAUCAUUUCUUCCCUAAACAAGUCAUGAAGUUCGAGAACUUGUGGUUUUCGGAGGGGGUGAGAAGCCCUCUGUUUUAUUCAAACAAAAAGUCAUGAACUAACAUGCAAAUUUAUUCCCUUUAAAUCCUAAACCAAGUGCCACUCUAACCCUAAACCAAGUGCCACUCUGACCAAAAUCAUGUGGUAGUGCAACAUACAUUUUCAACCUUCCAACCCUCCAAAAUUUAAGUGCAAAACAAAGGAAAACCACUCUCACGCGUGUGCAAACAUUCACGGUCUCACUAUUUUUUUUUAAAAUUCACAGUCUCACUAUGUAUACCUUCCUUCCCUACCCAUGUCAAAGUCUUGCCAUCUGUCCUAGCGGUUACCAGCGCAGCCCUAAACACCACAAACCCACGCGGUCCUGGGUUCGAGUCCCCAGCCGCACCAAUUUUUUGUGCAUUUUCCACCCUUCAUUUUUUUAUACAUAUUAUGUUUUCCUCAAUGUAAUGCCCUUAAAAAAUGUUCAUUUAUUUUGGCACCUGGCGUAAACCUCUACCAGAGCUGAGGCACAUUUUCCAUGACAUUUUGGUCUUUGAUUUAAAUCACGGUGUAUUUGAAUUGGAUUAAUUAACAGCUCGAAAAAAUUUCUAACCUUAAUUGUUUGGCUCCGGAAUAAUUCAAUUAGCUUCCACAAAAAGUUUCAGCAUUAUGAUUUACUGCCUAAAUUAAAUCAGAAUAGAAAACAAAAAAAUAUGCAAGAAAACCCCUGAAUGGGCCUAAUUGGAUGCAGUUGGCCCAUUAGUCUAGCCUGCACUUGGCUCUACGCUCUGAAUUUGGCCCAAGAGCAACCUUUUUUCGGACAGAAAGGCAGAGCAGAGAGCUGCAUUUCAUUGAUCAAAAGUUUCUGAAUUCCUAAUUUCUUCUCUUUUUUUUCCAACAUAUUUAAAUGUUGGUCACUUCUUCUCUUUUUGUUUCAACAUUUAAACAACUUUAACCAACAUUUAAACUAGGUGAAUUUCUCAAACAAUUUCAAGAUUACAAAUUCCUUCAUAAUUCAUGCCUUUCCAUACAUUUUCAACAUUACAACCAGUGCGAUUACCAUACCUACAAAUGCCCAAAAGUAUUUGCAAAUGGGUAUUGGUAGUGCUUGAUCUUCAAGCUUCCUAACCUUCUUCUUCAACAUCCUAAGCUCAAUAGCUAGCUCUCUGUCAGUGCGUGCUUCGCCAUCCAUCUCUUCUUCCGGAGCUCGUGGUGUGGCUACUGCCGUUCGUGGCAGCAUGCGCAACCAUUCUUCAUGCUCUUCUUGCAGUUCAUUCAUCAGAGUCUUGGCCAGAGCAUCGACCCAAAGAAAGAAGCAUGUCACCUGCAUGAACACUAAACAGAUCAACCCAUUGCUCAAACAUCCCGACGACGAAAAUGGUGCAAUUGCCCCGAUUCUUACCCCAUUCUCGCUGCACACGUAGAACGGACGAUUCUGGUUCCUCGGUGUCUGAGAAACCCUUCGAUCAACGCCCGCCCGGCACCGCGGACAGACGAAGACAGGCAUGUCCACACGCGCCCGGCUCUGCAUCCGCGAGGUGGCGCGGGAGCUUGAGGAAGACAUGGAGCUCGGAGCCGAAGGGGAUCUCAACGUUGCCGCGCCCUCCACUGCUAGCUUCCCACCGCCGCGCCCUCCACAGCUAGCUUCCCGCCGCCGUGCUCUCUCUCUCGCCGUGGUCACCGCCGUGCUCUCUGUCGCCGUGGUCACCGCCGUUGUCGCCCGCUUAUAUAGCACACCCGCCAACGGCUCUCUGCUCAAUGGCUCUUUGCUGGGUCCCACAAGCCACGCGUGCAACGGACUGAAUAAAAUUGGCCGUUUCUGCCGCCUGGUCCCACCUGUAAGGGCCGAGUCAAAAGGUUGACCUGACGGAGACGGCAGAGUUCACGGAACGAGUCGGUGCGCACGGACUAGGGGCAAAACUGAGCACAAUUCGCAUCUGAGGGCAAAACUGAGCACAUGGACACCACUGAGGGCAAAAGGAUAAUUAACCCUAUAAUUAAAAAUCGUGUGCUCAGAUGGGUUGGCGAUUGGGGUGCCAACACACACGCUUUCAAAACGGUGUGCGGUGAAUGGGCUCGACUAGGUCUGAAAUAAGUGCUACAUUAUAAAAUUACUCAUUUUUUACAAGCAAACAUAGCACCAGACGUAAUUCACAAUUGGACAACCCAUCGCACACUCUACAAUAUUUUGUUCUGCCAUUUCUCUACUAAUGGACAAAAGGCACUCGGCUUACAUCGGUAUGCCAACAUGAUGUACCUUGAGUGCGUUACGCUGAGUGUCAAACCCGCCGAGGCAAAAUCAGCCUUUGCUAGGGGGUCUGCACACCCAAUGGCGGAGCUAUGUUGGGGCCAGGGGGCCACUGCCCCCCAGCCUUUGAUCAAUUCCUGAAGAAAAUUUAUUUAGGGAGGCUUAGAUUAGACUUUUUUUAGCAUUUGGCGCCCCCAAAAACUGAAGAUUUUUGUUUCCCCCCCCAGUGAUCUUCGGCUAGCUCCGCCACUAUGCACACCCAGCUUAAUAUGCUUUCUUGUAGUGGAGAAUUUUCAACGAAUAAUGUAAAAUAGCCGUUGUGUCAAAAAAAUUGACAGUUAGGUCACUUUGGGACAGAAAAAGUAUCCAAAAGAUGCCCUAUAUACCUAUAUGUUGCAAAAGAAAAUUACCCAAAAUUUUGUCACACACAUCUAGCAGCUGCGCUGAAACCAAAAACAAUGCAGCAGGAACCCAACCACUUGCGAUGAGACUACCCCACCGCCGACAGUCGCCACCCCACACCUACUCUGACCGACUGUGCAGCGCAUGCCGCCGCCACGACUCAAUCGGCCGUUCUUAGCCCUGCUACCACCCUGCCGCUCGGGAUGUCCGCUACAAAUCUUGGGUCGGCGCAUCCGAUUCCACCGACUCUGGCCAUAGAAAGUUGGUGGCUACCGGGACAUCCCCCUUCAGUAUUUUGGCUAAUUUUGAACUUUAUGGACGGAUCACUAGAAAAUGUUAAUAUCGUCCAUGUUGCUGAAGGGGAAUUACUACUUGGGGAUUUCCUCACUGAAUAUUGGAAUAUACUUACUUUAUGCAUGCCAUCAAAUAUAGCUCAUCCCCUGAAAGAACAAAGAUUGCUGAUGUUUUUUUCCACGGUUUUCUAAAACAAUGUUGAUCUUUUUCAGAGAAAUGCAAUGAUUAUUUUUAGAGAACAUUCUGCAAAUCAACUAAAUAAGAGUCUAGGCAUUCUUCUUGUUUUUUUCAGGGGGAAGGUGUCUAGACAUUUAUUAACAUGUAGAACUUACAAUGCAUGGGGAAUGAAAGAUCAAAUAUACCUUGCUCUCCUUUCUUAUUUUAGUGGCUGUUAAUGUCAUCAUAAAGAAUAUUACACAUUAGGAUUGAGUUGUUUUGCUCUUCUAUUUUCCAGUAAGCCAUGCGAUAUUUUACAACCCAUCGGACACCCUUAUGGAUCUGAUGCUAUGUAGAUCAAGAUUAUUUCUAAUUACCCGCGAGACACCGACAGAGUAUAUCAUGUGGAAUUUCUUGUUCCUGUGGUUAGGAUGAACCAUUGCAACAUAUCGCAAUAAAUAGCUGGGCAAAAAAAAUAUGAUCAUCACAAUAAUAUUAGGUCUUGGAACCAUGACUUAUUACAUAAUCAGUUUAUUCUCUCUACAUAAAGCAGCGGACUCACAAAGACACAUGCAUAUUGGAUACUACAUUAUAUGGAAGGUGUGCAUGCAUCCGUAACCGAUCACACCCUUAGCUGCACCUGGGGCUCUGCACGAAGUUGCUAACCGGAAAUGACUGGUCGAACGUGGUUGCAUGCUCACUACCAGUAAACCUCAGCUUGUCACCGACGCGUUGAACCGUGUGGAAUGCAAGAAAAUCCCACUCAAACUGGAUCCUCACGCCACCCAGUUGAGUUAUGGAUCCGGGCCGGAUAACACCACUGACUAUGCUGUCAAACCGAAUCUUGUGUGAUCCACCGGCAACCGUAACGUUGAAGUCGCAGGAGGCGGAGUGUCACCUCAACGGCGCCCCCAUGGUUCAUGUAUGACUUCACACCCUGAGGCAGGAGAGCCCGCGGGAAGUUGUUUUUCUCCAAAAGGUCGUCCGCUGUGUCGGAGGUGGCUACUUGGAGGACAGAAGCCAGGAAGACGAUGAGGAGCAGAUGCUGGAUGGCCAUGGCUAACUGUUGCUUAUAAAUUGUAGGAUCGAUAUACGAAAAUGAGGAAUGGGGAAGUGCGUGCAGACUGAG
rnacentral:lncRNA from 1 species